rnacentral:rRNA from 1 species
UACGUAGGUGGCAAGCGUUGUCCGGAAUUAUUGGGCGUAAAGCGCGCGCAGGCGGUCCUUUAAGUCUGAUGUGAAAGCCCACGGCUCAACCGUGGAAGGUCAUUGGAAACUGGAGGGCUUGAGUACAGAAGAGGAAAGCGGAAUUCCACGUGUAGCGGUGAAAUGCGUAGAGAUGUGGAGGAACACCAGUGGCGAAGGCGGCUCACUGGCCCGGUACUGACGCUGAGGCGCGAAAGCGUGGGGAGCAAACAGG